AUGAAGAGUUGGCUCUUUAUUUUGUUGCCUUUUUUUUGUUUCAGCCAGGCUCAGGGUCACUGGAGCUGCUCAGAUAAGGUCCACUGCCUCAGUCUCUGAGCUCCAAAGAGAAAGAGAAAUAGAAAUGCGUUAAGAUGAUUCACCCUCAGAUGUUUCAGAAUUAACCGAUUGUGGAAUCAACUCCUAUCAAAAUUUAAACUCAAAAAUUAUUAAAAAUUUAAACAAAAUUUAGUAUUUCAGCUACAUACACUUUUCAGAAAUUGGUUAUUCAAAUGCAUAUUGUCGAGAAAAGUUGAGCUCAUCCCACUUUCCCAUGCUGGAGAUUUUAGUUUAAUAAUAACAAUAAAUAAAGUGAUCUAUAAAAC